rnacentral:rRNA from 1 species
CAAGUCGAACGCGAAAGUCCCCUUCGGGGGGCAAGUAGAGUGGCGCACGGGUGAGUAACACGUAGGUAAUCUACCUUUGGAUGGGGAAUAACAAUCGGAAACGAUUGCUAAUACCGCAUAAUGCAGCGGCACCUAAUGGUGACAGUUGUUAAAGCGGGGGAUCGAAAGACCUCGCGUCUGAAGAGGAGCCUGCGGCGGAUUAGCUAGUUGGUAAGGUAAUGGCUUACCAAGGCUACGAUCCGUAACCGGCCUGAGAGGGCGGUCGGUCACACUGACACUGACAUACGGGUCAGACUCCUACGGGAGGCAGCAGUCGGGAAUUUUGGGCAAUGGGCGAAAGCCUGACCCAGCAACGCCGCGUGAAGGAUGAAAUCCCUCGGGAUGUAAACUUCGCAAGAACGGGAAGAAUAAGUAGGGGAUAAUACCCCCUAUGAUGACGGUACCGUUUGUAAGCUCCGGCUAACUCCGUGCCAGCAGCCGCGGUAAUACGGGGGGAGCAAGCGUUGUUCGGAUUUACUGGGCGUAAAGGGCGCGUAGGCGGCCAGCACAAGUCAGUUGUGAAAUCUCCGAGCUUAACUCGGAACGGUCAACUGAUACUGUGCGGCUAGAGUGCGGAAGGGGCAACUGGAAUUCUUGGUGUAGCGGUGAAAUGCGUAGAUAUCAAGAGGAACACCUGCGGCGAAGGCGGGUUGCUGGGCCGACACUGACGCUGAGGCGCGAAAGCUAGGGGAGCGAACGGGAUUAGAUACCCCGGUAGUCCUAGCCUUAAACGAUGAAUGCUUGGUGUCUGGGGUUAUAAAGUCCCCGGGUGCCGUCGCUAACGCUUUAAGCAUUCCGCCUGGGGAGUACGGUCGCAAGACUGAAACUCAAAGGAAUUGACGGGGACCCGCACAAGCGGUGGAGCAUGUGGUUUAAUUCGAC